GCCGCCGUGGCUUAGCCCGGUAAAGCGGCUGAUUCGUAAGGCUGGUUUUGGCCCGAUAUAUCAGCAGGUCAUGGGUUCGAAUCCCAUCGGCGGCU
rnacentral:tRNA from 1 species